AGUUCGAUCCUGGCUCAGAUUGGAACGCUGGCGGGAUGCUUUUACACAUGCAAGUCGAACGGCACGGACUUGGUCUGUGGCGAGUGGCGAACGGGUGAGUAAUGUAUCGGAACGCCUAGUAGCGGGGAUACCACGCGAAAGCGUAGCUAAUACCGCAUACGGCCUCUUCGGGGGGAAAGCGGGGGACCUUCGCCUCGCACUAUUAGGAUGCGCCGAUAUCGGAUUAGCUAGUUGCAGGGUAACGGCUCACCAAGGCGACGAUCCGUAGCUGGUUUGAGAGGACGACCACACUGGGACCGAAGCACACCAGACCUCACGGGGAGGCAGGUGGGGAAUUUUGGACAAUGGGGGAAACCCCGAUCCAGCCAUCCGCGUGUGCGAUGAAGGCCUUCGGGUUGUAAAGCACUUUUGGCAGGAAGAAACGGCACGGGAUAAUACCCCGUGCAACUGAUUGUACCUGCAGAAUAAGCACGGUUAACUACGUGCCAGCAGCCGUGUAAUACGUAGGGUGUGUUAAUCGGAAUUACUGGGCGUAAAAGCGUGUGCAGGCGGUUCGGAAAGAAAGAUGUGAAAUCCCAGAGCUUAACUUUGAACUGCAUUUUUAACUACCGAGCUAGAGUGUGUCAGAGGGAGGUGGAAUUCCGCGUGUAGCAGUGAAAUGCGGUAGAUAUGCGGAGGAACACCGAUGGCAGAAGGCAGCCUCCUGGGAUAACACUGACGCCUGGCGCAUCAGUGCGGGAGCAAAGGUGAUUAGAGCACCCUGGUAGUCCACGCCCUAAACGAUGUCAACUAGCUGUUGGGGCCUUCGCCUUGCAGCGCAGCUAACGCGUGAAGUUGACCGCCCGGGGAGUACGGUCGCAAGAUUAAAACUCAGCGAAUUGACGGGACCCGUACAAGCGGUGGAUGAUGUGGAUUAACUGAUGUAACGCGAAAAAACUCACCUACCCUUGACAUGUCUGGAAUCCCGAAGAGAUUUGGGAGUGCUCGCAAGAGAACCGGAACACAGGUGCUGCAUGGCUGUCGUCAGCUCGUGUCGUGAGAUGUUGGGUUGGUGUCCCAACGAGCGCAACCUUGUCAUUAUUGAGCAUGAAAGGGCACUCUAAUGAGACUGCCGGUGACAAACUGGAGGAAGGUGGGGAUGACAAGUCCCUCAUGGACUUUAUGGGUAGGGCUUCACACGUCAUACAAUGGUCGGGACAGAGGGUCGCCAACCCGCGAGGGGGAGCCAAUCCAGAAACCCGAUCGGGUCCGGAUCGCAGUCUGCAACUGACUAAAAGAAGUCGUGGAAUCGCUAGUAAUCGCGGAUCAGCAUGUCGCGGUGAAUACGUUCCCGGGUCUUGUACACACCGCCCGUCACACCAUGGAGUGGGUUUUACCAGAAGAGUUAGCCUAACCGUAAGGAGGGCGAUUACCAUUGUAGGAUCUACAGACUGGGGUGAAGUCGUAAUGAAGGGGGAA
rnacentral:rRNA from 1 species